rnacentral:rRNA from 1 species
CAAGGAUCCCCUAGUACGGCGAGUGAAGCGGGAAGAGCACAAAUUUAAAAUCUACCUGGUUUUCAGGUCGAGUUGUAAUUUGAAGAUACGUUUUUGAYGUUCCNGGUUGGACUAAAUCCUUUGGGAUAAGGUAUCAUAGAGGGUGAGAAUCCCGURUAUACCAACCRCAGGGAUGUUAUUAAAUACGUUUCUAAGAGUCGAGUUGUUUGGGAAUGCAGCUCUAAAUGGGUGGUAAAUUUCACCUAAUGCUAAAUAUAAGCGAGAGACCGAUAGCGAACAAGUACAGUGAUGGAAAGAUGAAAAGAACUUUGAAAAGAGAGUUAAAUAGUACGUGAAAUUGUUGAAAGGGAAACGAUUGAAGUCAGUCAUGCCGGYGGGAAUCAACUUAGGGGAAACUCUGGGUGCACUUCUUCGYUUGGCAGGUYARCGUCGAUUUUGRAUGUCAUAAAAUAAUUGGGGGAAGGUAGCUCCUUCGGGAGUGUUAUAGCCCUUGRUAGAUGUGAUGUYUGGGRUCGAGGAUUGCAACGGAUACCCUUCGGGGCUAAGCCGCCUGAUCUCUAAUUGGUGUUGGGUUACGGAYAGCAUGCUGACCGUGAUCUAAUUACUGGUUAAAAGGUUAGAGCGUGYAUAAAUUCGUUAAGGACG